CCCUUGGUGGUCUAGUUGGUUAUGGCGUUCGGCUGUAAUUGAACAAUUUAAUUGUUACCGAAAUGUCGCUGGUUCGAUUCCGGCCCGAGGGA
rnacentral:tRNA from 1 species